UUUGCGGGGCCACAGAAUUUUGCAGACCCAUUGAAAUGAAUGGUUCCGUAUACAGAAUCAAAAUGCGGCCCGUAUACGGAACGCAAAAAACGUUUGUGUGAACAAGCCCUUAGUGCUUACUGAGUAGAAAGUUUUAGCAUCUGCCUAGAGGCGAAUCUUUAGGCCUCAUACACAUUUAUUUAUUUAUUAUACUCACUUAUAUAGCGCCGACAUAUUCCGCAGGGUUUUACAGACAUUAACACAAUCUAAGGUCCCUAUCAGUAUGUCUUUGGAGUGUGGGAAGAAACCGGAGAACCAGGAGGAAACCCACACAAAGACAGGGAGAACAUACAAACUCCAUGCAGAUGUUGUCCUUGGUCGGAUUCAAACCCAGGCCCCCAGCGCUGCAAGCAAGUAUGCAAGAGGCUACUGCGAACAUCGGUGCCUUCCCAAACAGCUGAUCAGCAAGGUCCCGGGUGUGAAACCCCCACUGAUCAGAUACUGAUGACCUAUCCAGGAGGAUAGGUCAUUGCUAUAAAAGUCUCAGAAUACCCCUUUACGGUCAAGGAUGUUUUUAUUUUACAGGUAGUGGUCA